CGCGGUCUUACUCCUCUCUCUCUCUCUCUCACAAAUCUGCGAUUCCGACCCCAAAUCCUCCAAAUCUCUUCCCCAAUCAUCUAAGAAACGAAGUUUGUCUCUUCAUGUCGGCGACGUUUGCGAUUUUCUCACCAUCUAAAACGGUCUGAGUAAAGGCUUCGUGAUUUCUUCCAUUGAUUCGCUCUCCCACUCUGUCUUCUCCAAUGCUUUUCGAUCUGAGAUGUUGUGUUUCAGUAUAAAUACGUAUGCCUCGGUGGUUCUGUGGUGAUACUCUAUGCCCGUGGUGGAGGUUUACUGGUCUGUUCUGGUAUCUCUCUAUGAAAUUGGAAGCUCGAGCUUCUUCUCGCCUCUCGGUGGUGGUUUUGUGCUACUGAAGGUUUAUUGCAGCGAGUAACCCUUGAAGGUGGC